AACGAACGCUGGCGGCAGGCUUAACACAUGCAAGUCGAACGAAGUCUUCGGACUUAGUGGCGGACGGGUGAGUAACACGUGGGAACGUGCCUUUAGGUUCGGAAUAACUCAGGGAAACUUGUGCUAAUACCGAAUGUGCCCUUCGGGGGAAAGAUUUAUCGCCUUUAGAGCGGCCCGCGUCUGAAUAGCUAGUUGGUGGGGUAAUGGCCCACCAAGGCUACGAUCAGUAGCUGGCCUGAGAGGAUGACCAGCCACAUUGGGACUGAGACACGGCCCAAACUCCUACGGGAGGCAGCAGUGGGGAAUCUUGCGCAAUGGGCGAAAGCCUGACGCAGCCAUGCCGCGUGGAUGAUGAAGGUCUUAGGAUUGUAAAAUCCUUUCACCGGUGAAGAUAAUGACUGUAGCCGGAGAAGAAGCCCCGGCUAACUUCGUGCCAGCCGCCGCGGUAA
rnacentral:rRNA from 1 species